CGCGGCGAGCCCCGGCCGCGGGAUCUGGGGUUUAUUUUAGUCCGCCGCCAGGUUUACGACAGACUCGGGGGGCGGAGCAACAUCCCGAACGAGCAAACAAUGGUCAUUGACAUCUUUUUCUCUACCCCCCACCCCCGCAAUGGAGGCAGGAAAGGUAACGCGGGCAGUCGGGCGCUUUUUGAGAAGAUCACCUCCCUUUGCUUUCUCCGUCCUUCCCGCCUCCAUCCGCGGCUGUUCCCCCAACCCUCAAGCGCCAGGAAUAGAAACUCGGAGGUCGGCGUCGGGGCUUGACCGCCAGGACUCUGUGCUGCUUCCCCCAGUUUCCCUAAAGGGACUUCGCCGCAGAGUCCCGCACGCUCGGGGAGCGGGACGCGGUGCUGAGCUGGAGGGGGGAGUACGGGGCUCUCUCUCCUGGUCCUCAGCAGCGACCAGCCCCGCGUGCGCUCCAUCAUCUAAAGUGUUUAAAAAAAAAAAAGGCUCUUGGGUCCCAGCAGAAGAGCGCAUAAAGAGAAGAGGUACAGAGGUACAGUGACCGUCCUCUGCCAUUGUAGGAUUUCUAAUUUAUGCGUCUUUAGACCCUCACGCGUCAUUUUGUGGGCAACCAAACGGGCGUUUUCACAUUAGCUCAAAGUAUCCAAAUCCAAAGAAGAGAGAAAACACGCACACAGAGACAGACACCCACAAACACACAGGAAAUACGUAAUCUGUUCAAGGAAUAUGAAAUGGAUGCAGGAAUCAGAGCAAAGAAUUUUGACAUUGUGAACUCUUGAUCAAAUGCUGAACACGACAAAGAAUAAGACAAAAAAAGUGUGCAAAACAUAGUGACUAAAUUUUGAAAACAAUCUUGCAGUUACAAAAAAAAAUGCAAAUGGGGAAACGAAGGUACAAUAUUUAAGUUUUUCUAUGUGCUAGUGGGGUAGGAGGAAAAAAAAAAAACAAGGAGAAUGCUUUGUUAAGCCAGAUUUUAUUGUUUAAAAAGAAGAAAAGGAUUUGUGAAAAUCAUUCCAGGUUAACCUAACAGUACAUAUCUUGAAGGCAAGAACAAUGUUACGCAUUCCUUUUCCUGUUUGGUUCCAGUCCUUUGGUUGGAAUGUCUUCCAGAGUUUUGCUCUCUUAUUGUUUUAAUCAUUGUUGUAUUCAUCUCAGUGAGUUUUACAAAGAAUCUGCCCUCUCUGGGAGUGAGGGGGUCGUAAGGGACCAGUAUGGUCAUCAUUGAGAACUGUCAACCAGGCAAGUGUGUAGAGUAGUAUUUUAAAAUAUUAAAAGAACGAAAGGCAAAGUUGCACGAAUCGCUAGCUGUUGUCAAUUGAUUGACUUAGCAAGAUCAGUAUUGCUACAAUUUUAACAUCAUGCUAUUUUUACAGGUCUUUCCUGAACUUGAAACACUUGAGUUAGGUCUUCAUCCUCACCUGCAACUGGAAUUGCCUAAUUUUUAAAAAUUGAUGGCACACAAAGAAGCAUUUAUGUGUGUACUUAAGUGAUUGCUGGGAUCCUGAAACCUGCGGUUCAGAUUUUAAAUUUUGGUUUAAUUGGAAUUGCAUUGUUUACUUGUAUUCACUUAAAUAAAAAAUGGUAGAAAAACAUUUCAAACUUUUAUCAGAGACAACAAGGUAAGUAAAAAUACUUGUGUUAUGGCAUCUAUGGAUAAAAAAGUCGGUAUGAACCGUUAUGUUUUAUUUUUCAAGUUCAAACAUGUCUCAGAAAUGAAGCCCACUGUCAUAAUGUUCAUAUUGAUUACCCAAAUUGAAAAAAUGUUUAUAAUUACACUUUUUUCCAGACAGUUACUAUUUUGUCUAUUUUCAGGCUAUACAUUUCAUCUCAUGUAAUUAGUUUUAUAGAACUGCAGGAUAGCAGUUAACAUCAAGUGUUUGUAUUCCAAGUUGCUGCUUAUUUUGGUUUUCAGCUGUAUUGAAUCCUGCUACAGGUUCAUUUACAUAUGGAAGCUUCCCGUUUUU